rnacentral:rRNA from 1 species
UACGUAGGGUGCGAGCGUUAAUCGGAAUUACUGGGCGUAAAGUGUGCGCAGGCGGCCAUGCAAGUCGAGUGUGAAAGCCCCGGGCUUAACUUGGGAAUUGCGCUCGAAACUACGUGGCUGGAGUGUGGCAGAGGAAGGUGGAAUUCCACGUGUAGCGGUGAAAUGCGUAGAGAUGUGGAGGAACACCGAUGGCGAAGGCAAUCCCCUGGGCCUGCACUGACGCUCAUGCACGAAAGCGUGGGGAGCAAACAGG